rnacentral:rRNA from 1 species
GCGAACGGGAUUAGAUACCCUGGUAGUCCACGCUGUAAACGAUGUCGAUUUGGAGGUUGUGCCCUUGAGGCGUGGCUUCCGGAGCUAACGCGUUAAAUCGACCGCCUGGGGAGUACGGCCGCAAGGUUAAAACUCAAAUGAAUUGACGGGGGCCCGCACAAGCGGUGGAGCAUGUGGUUUAAUUCGAUGCAACGCGAAGAACCUUACCUACUCUUGACAUCCAGAGAACUUAGCAGAGAUGCUUUGGUGCCUUCGGGAACUCUGAGACAGGUGCUGCAUGGCUGUCGUCAGCUCGUGUUGUGAAAUGUUGGGUUAAGUCCCGCAACGAGCGCAACCCUUAUCCUUUGUUGCCAGCGGUUCGGCCGGGAACUCAAAGGAGACUGCCAGUGAUAAACUGGAGGAAGGUGGGGAUGACGUCAAGUCAUCAUGGCCCUUACGAGUAGGGCUACACACGUGCUACAAUGGCAUAUACAAAGAGAAGCGACCUCGCGAGAGCAAGCGGACCUCAUAAAGUAUGUCGUAGUCCGGAUUGGAAUCUGCAACUCGACUCCAUGAAGUCGGAAUCGCUAGUAAUCGUAGAUCAGAAUGCUACGGUGAAUACGUUCCCGGGCCUUGUACACACCGCCCGUCACACCAUGGGAGUGGGUUGCAAAAGAAGUAGGUAGCUUAACCUUCGGGAGGGCGCUUACCACUUUGUGAUUCAUGACUGGG